rnacentral:rRNA from 1 species
GGAUCCGAUCAUACCAGCACUAAAGCACCGGAUCCCAUCAGAACUCCGAAGUUAAGCGUGCUUGGGCGAGAGUAGUACUAGGAUGGGUGACCUCCUGGGAAGUCCUCGUGUUGCAUUCC